GUCCUUUGCUGUUCUGGGAUUGAUUUGCUGUUCUGGGAGUCCUUUGCUGUUCUGGGAUUGAUUUGCACUUUUCACACCACAAUGAACGUGGUACCUUCAGGCGUUUGGAAAUUGCUCCCAAGGAUGAACCAAACUUGUGGAGGUCUACAAUUUUUUUCUGAGGUCUUGGCUGAUUUCUUUUGAUUUUCCCAUGAUGUCAAGCAAAGAGGCACUGAGUUUGAAGAACCAAGUGACACUUCCACCUGUUCCAAGGAAAACAUCUGGCCAAUGCUGGGUCAACAUGUGGAUGGCGGGGAACACAGUAUUCUGUUUGGAUGCCGGAAACCAUUUGGAGUGGACGAACGUACGCAGGUGGCCUACUACCUGAAGUGAUGUGUUCGACAAUAAGAUCAUGACUGGUUGU